UACGAAGGGGGCUAGCGUUGCUCGGAAUUACUGGGCGUAAAGGGUGCGUAGGCGGACUGUUAAGUUAGAGGUGAAAGCCCAGGGCUCAACCUUGGAAUUGCCUUUGAUACUGGCAGUCUUGAGUACGGAAGAGGUAUGUGGAACUCCGAGUGUAGAGGUGAAAUUCGUAGAUAUUCGGAAGAACACCAGUGGCGAAGGCGACAUACUGGUCCGUUACUGACGCUGAGGCUCGAAAGCGUGGGGAGCAAACAGG
rnacentral:rRNA from 1 species